rnacentral:rRNA from 1 species
GAUGAACGCUGGCGGCGUGCCUAAUACAUGCAAGUCGAGCGAACGGACGAGAAGCUUGCUUCUCUGAUGUUAGCGGCGGACGGGUGAGUAACACGUGGAUAACCUACCUAUAAGACUGGGAUAACUUCGGGAAACCGGAGCUAAUACCGGAUAAUAUUUUGAACCGCAUGGUUCAAAAGUGAAAGACGGUCUUGCUGUCACUUAUAGAUGGAUCCGCGCUGCAUUAGCUAGUUGGUAAGGUAACGGCUUACCAAGGCAACGAUGCAUAGCCGACCUGAGAGGGCGAACGGCCACACUGGAACUGAGACACGGUCCAGACUCCUACGGGAGGCAGCGAUAGGGAAUCGUCCGCACUGGGCGAAAGCCUGAAGGAGCAACGGAGGGUGAGUGAUGAAGGUCUUCGGAUCGUAAAACUCUGUUAGGAGGGAAGAACAUAUGUGUAAGUAACUGUGCACAUCUGGACGGUACCUAAACAGAAAGCCCCGGCUAACUACGU